rnacentral:rRNA from 1 species
CCUACGGGAGGCAGCAGUGAGGAAUAUUGGUCAAUGGCCGGAAGGCUGAACCAGCCAAGCCGCGUGAAGGACGAAGCUGCCAAGCAUUGUAAACUUCUUUUGUCAAGGGACAAAAUCAGACUCUAAAGCCUGACCGAGGGUACUUGAAGAAAAAGCAUCGGCUAACUCCGUUCCAGCACCCGCGGUAAUACGGAGGAUGCGAUCGUUAUCCGGAUUUAUUGGGUUUAAAGGGUGCGUAGGCGGACUGUUAAGUCAGCGGUAAAAGCCCGGGGCUCAAACCCGGCGAGUGGUUGACACUGGCUGUCUUGAGAUGUCGAGAGGUAUGCGGAAUGCGCAGUGUAGCGGUGAAAUGCUUAGAUAUUGCGCAGAACUCCGAGUGCGAAGGCAGCAUACCGGCGGCGAUCUGACGCUGAGGCAAGAAAGCGUGGGUAUCGAACAGGAUUAGAUACCCUAGUAGUA